UACGAAGGGGACUAGCGUUGUUCGGAAUCACUGGGCGUAAAGCGCACGUAGGCGGAUUCGUAAGUCAGGGGUGAAAUCCCGGGGCUCAACCUCGGAACUGCCUUUGAUACUGCGGGUCUUGAGUCCGAUAGAGGUGGGUGGAAUUCCUAGUGUAGAGGUGAAAUUCGUAGAUAUUAGGAAGAACACCGGUGGCGAAGGCGGCCCACUGGAUCGGUACUGACGCUAAGGUGCGAAAGCGUGGGGAGCAAAACAGG
rnacentral:rRNA from 1 species